GCCAUCCACACCAGCUGGCUUCUAAGAAAAGCACCAUCAGCACCACCAGUGUCACCAAGGCUAUCAGCAUCACCAAUAUCACCUGCAUCAUCAUCAUCAUCACCAUCACUAUGAUUACUAUCAUUACUGCAUCAACAUCACCACAAUCACCGGCCUCAAAUCUCCAUUACCAUCAUCGCCAUCACCGGUGCUAUUACCAUAAUCAUCAUCACCAUCAUCACAACCAUCACUGUAAUCAUCACCCUCACAAUGGCCAUCAUAAUCACUACUAUGAUUGACAUCAUCAGCAUCGCAAACAUCGCUAUCACCAUCAUCACCAACUUGGCUCCACCACAAUUACUACUGUUAUUACAGUUAUCACCAUCACCACCAUCACCACCAUCAUCACCACCACCACCACGAUUGCUGCCAUUGUUCUCAACAUCCCUCUUUAGAAAGCUUGUCCUUAGCUCUGAACAUCUCUAAACAAAACAUGCUUAAUGCUGACAUGACACCCAUCAGCAGCCAGGAUCUUUGACUGAGAGGAAGGGAAAGCCAGGGCAUCUCAGUCAUAUCGGUCUUGAAACUUCUUCUCCCCCCUCACCACCACCACCACGGCCUCACAUCUACGUGUGUCUUUACUUCCUGCCACUGAAUACAAGCAGCAUUUUCAGAAACAAGCAGAGGCUCUGGAAGCCCUGCAGUUA
rnacentral:lncRNA from 1 species